rnacentral:rRNA from 1 species
AUGGCAUGUAUAUGUGUUACUUCAACUUGCACUUUAGGCCUUGCCAGAUUCCUCGCAGCCUGGUGGCCUGAAGGCAAUGAAGCUGACGCACUGCACCUGGCGCAUGUUGUCGAAGCCGAUGACACGGACAUAGGCGUCAGGGUACUCCUUCUUGACCUCCUCCACCUCGUUGAGCACCUGCGUUGCGUCGGUGCACCCGAACAUAGGCAGCUUCCACAUUGUCCAGUAUCGACCGUCGUAGUAGCCGGGGGAGCUGUUGUGCUCACGGAAGACGAAGCCAACCUUGCUGAACUCGAGGCAGGGCACCCACUUGGAGCGGAUCAGGUAGUCGACCUGCUUUAG